CGUGGGGUGGAGCAGUCUGGUAGCUCGUCGGGCUCAUAACCCGGAGGUCGCAGGUUCAAAUCCUGUCCCCGCAA
rnacentral:tRNA from 1 species